CUUCUUGUAAUUUUGUGCAUAUUUGUUUUAUAUUUAUUUUCAGUGUUGACUUUCUUUUGUUAUCUGUAUAUAAUUAGUAUUUAAGAUUAGGAGAAGAUGAUUUAAUGGUAGUUAUAAAAAUAAGCUCUACUGUAUAGACAUAAACUCUAGUCCUUGUGUGGUUGGCAAGUAUUUUCAAUAUCUGAAGAUACUAGAUUUAAAGCAAUUUGGAGUUACAGGGCUUGUGACAGAUUGUCUUUUCCAAAGACGAGCACAACAUCUCUCAUCUGCAUUGAGCUGUUAUAACUCUUCCAUCAAGAGGUAAAGUUUACUUUGCCACCUACUUGAAUCUGAGACAGCAGCCCCAGACUGCUUUGACCAAUACAGUAUGCAGAACUGAUACUGCCAGUAACAGGCACAGCCCUUAACUGGCCUGGAAACUUGUACUUCCUCCCUGUUGGAAGCUAACCACCAUUUAAUAAGUGUGACUACUCCCACCCAAGCCCAUGUGGAGAGGGCUUGGAGGCUGAGAGGCUGUGCUAGAAACAGAAAGCCCAGGGAAAACAAAAGUGCCAGACCUGCAAAUGAAGAAGCCAAGUUGGAAGCCAAUCUUUCAGCACCAGCUGACCCCAGUUAAUAGCAGAUGGAUUAGAGAUGAACCCCCCACCUGAGUACUUCCUGACUUCCUAACAUAUAAAAAUGUGAGCCCAAUAAAAUAGUAGAGAUUUUAUGCCACGACAUUUUGAGGUAGUUUUAAAUGUAGUAAUCAAGAAUCAGAAUAGGGUCAACAGAGCAUAUAUACCUGCCCUGCUAAAAGGCUUUAUUCUUUUAAAACAUUUGACUGGACAAUGAGAGCCCAUUUUCCCAAUGAAUUUGCUGUAGGGUAACUGUAGGGUUUGCUACUCCUGCUCUGGAACAACAGGAAACUGAAUUCACAUCCCAUAUCUACCAUUUACUUUGUGACUGGACAAGUUACUCAACAUCUUGAAGCCUUACUUUCCUUUCCAAUCAAAUGGGGUUACAGUGAGAAUUUAAUGGUUUAAUGAAUAAAAAGCAUUACCAGCUAUCAAUUUUAAUCAUUUUUUAAUUAUAUUUUUAGAUAUAGUGAUUUAUUUUCUUGGCUAGAAAAAAUGAAAUUGUAUUGCUUCUUGGUUUAAAAUAAUUGCUGACAUUUUUACUAUUAUACUAACCUGUCAGUGACAAUGAGAAUAUCAGCUAGAGAAAGAGAGGAGGUGUUUUUUCCUUUUGCUUGGUUUACAAAGUCAUGUUAUUCAAUCACUGGUUUCUAUAUCUAUUUUUCAUUAUAUAUUUAUUUACUAUAGAAUGCAUACCUGCUCAACAUAUCCUUAAAUAUAAGAUGUUAACAUAUGUCUAUAUUUCCACAUAUGUACAAAUGAUGAAUUUAAUAACUUUUGCAUGGUUGAUAGCACAUAAAGCUUAAAUUACUUUUUGUGUCUUUUAACAAUUGCUUAACUGUUAAAGAUAAUGAGGUUUAUAAUUGCAGUCAUUGUCUUUCUCUAAUUGUACUUUCACAAAUUAGCCUUCAGACCAAAUCUAUUUGAAGCUACUCUUCUACUUUUACUCUUCCCAAUUUAGUCUCUGAAUCUCCCCUACCCCUCUCUCAUUCUUUCUUCUUCGUUUCUUCCUCUCUCCACGUACACAUAUAUGCGUAUGCACAUAUAUGUCUAUGCGCAUACAUGCAAACACACACAUAUUUACGUUUGACUUCUCAGUAUUUGGUCUUUGGGUUAGGAAUCCUACUUACAGCAGUCCACUGAGAUACUAAAUUCCUUUUAUUUCAGUUCCUUAUGACCAUUUGUCUGUCUAAGCUUUGAUAAAAUAUGGCAGGGUUCAGGAUUAUUGGCAGUCUUUUCUUCAGUGAACCCUAAAACUGGAACUUCAUAAAAGUUUCACAUCAGGAGAAACAUGUAGAGUAGAUAUGAGCAGAAAUAAGAUUAGCAACUGCUUUGAAAAUCAGAUUGUUCUUAUUUCUCUGCUAUAUGUGGAGUUCUCUUACUUGUAUGCCCAGGAAGUCUUAAUUUCCUCUGGCAUCUGCCAGCCUGUUUCACCACAUCAUGCUAAUUCAUCCCACUGAAAAAGUUAUAAAACGCAGGAAGCUUAAAUAAGCCCAGGAACUGCGUUCAUCACUCUUUUUAAAAAAUGAAACACAGAAUAUGUUUGCUUUAUUUACAGUAUUGGCUUCAGGCAAAUCAAAUUUAUGUGAAAUAUUAUUGCACCGAAAGGAUGUAAUGUGCAUUUCUUGCAUGAUACUAAAUUUAUCUUUAGGAAACAAAGACAAGUGAAGCAGCAAACUUGCCGAACAAUCUCUGCCACACCAUAUGCACUUCGUGAGUUAAAAAGUUAUGUUUUUAUCCUAAUUAUUUAUACUAUAAAUUCUGGUAUUGCAUCUAAAUUCUAUUAAUUUUCAAAAAGUUUCAUUUCAUUAAUUAGCUUAUGGUAGGACAAAGGGGUUUCACUGUAUCUACAGAUGAGACUUCAUUCCUUGUCUAGACUGGCUGGUGAAAACCUGGCUCCAUCCCAGCCUAGGGGCAGUGACCCAGGUAUAAACUCUGGGUCCAGCAUCCUAAGUAUAAAUCCUGCUCUGUCCCUCAAUUAUUGAGUAAGUUCAGGGUAAAAUGAACAAUGCCAAGCACAAAGAGGGCUAUAAAGAGGUAUAAGACAUAAUCCUUGCCCUCAUGGACUUUCGGGCUAGAUUUUUGAUCAGUAGAUCUUAAGAGCGUGAAAUAUAAGCUUGUACACCUCCCAGAGCAUUACUCAUGUGAGGUGGAAUGGAACAUGCUGAAGGACACAUAAUCCAUGUUUUAAACUGAAGAGGACCCAUAUAGUUAGCUAAGCUUUUAGAAGAACAGGUUGAGCAUCCCUAAUCGGAAAAUCUAAAAUCAGAAAUCCUCCAAAAUCUGAAAGUAUUUGAGCACCAACAUGAUAAAAAUGGAAAAUUCCACAUGUGACCUUAUGUAAUGAGUUUCAGUCAAAAUGCAGGCAUACAACCCACAGUUUAUUCAGCAUUCCCAGGAGAAAAAAGACCCUCCCAGCCUGUUUUCCUAUUCAAUACCUCACCUAUGUUGCUUCUCAGUAGCUGAUCUUGGAACAUUAAUGAUACCAAAGGGGAGUGUUUUAGGUGCAGAUCAAGAUAGCAACUAAAACUUAUGAUAAUUAACUUAGGAACUUAAAUCAGUGAGUGAAUUUCCAGGGACAGUGAGAACACUAAUUCUCUGUGAUUUUAAAAUGUCUCCAUUUGUUAUAUUCUCUGAUUUUUCUUCCCGUAUUUUUAUGAGCAAAGCUUAUAUCAACCCUAUAAAAAUGUUAUACUAGUAUAAGGAAGAGUAACAGAAAGGUACAGUCUGGAAAAGUGAACCCUGGUUCAUUGACUGAUAAGCCAGAGGAACUCAGGACCUAAUAGGCUGCAGGAGAGCAUCAAAAUAGGACAUCAACUAGAUUGCCCCUGCCCCCUCAAAGGUAUACAAGUGAGUACAAGGGCCACUUUAUUUGGUUCAGCAUUAUAAGAAUUAGAAGGGUGAGGUUCCAUGAACCCCCGUUUGUUAUGUAAUGAAGAUGAUUAACUUUCUGGCUUGCUGAGUAAAAUGGUACUCAUAAUAGAAUCAAAACCUUUCCUGAAGGUAAGACAUGCUAUAUUUAUUGCUUCCUCCUUGUCUAUAAGCCAGAACAUUCUCUCACUAUUGUAAUACAAGCUAAUAAGAGCCAAAUAAAUCUCUGAUCCUUUGGCUCACUCUGCCAUUAAACACAAGCCAUUGUAAAGUCAUGAAAAUUACCUGAGAAGGAUGUGGAAAAACUGUUUUUUUCAGAAAAGACCAACCACAGUGAUUAAAGGGAUGAAAAAGAUGACCUGCUUGAAAACUCUAAAGAACCCAGUAUUAUUUGAAAGAAGAGGAAGCUGAAUGCCCUCUGUCCUUCUCUGGAAUAAGAACUAACCUGAACAACAGUAACAACAAUACAAACAGCUAUGAAGAUUAUGUAUAGCUGGAGGCUACAAGCAGAUGGUGACCAAACCUGUCAGAUUGUUUUUUAAAGAUGCUGAGGAGCAGAUUUCUCAUGGGGAGCACCUUCUGAUACAUUUUAAUACGUUUCUUACAGGCUAGUCAAAUAAAGCAGUGGGAGUGGAAAAGGAUCAAAGAAAUCUGUAACCGGUUAUGAUCAAUUAGUUGUAAACACCACUGCACGAGGACCAGCCCAAAGCUGCUACUUAACCAAGUGACUUUCUGAUUGCUCAACUGUGUUUCCACUGAGAAAAAUGCAUUGAAAUGAAACAUCUCAUUUCCAGUACUGUCCUGAGGCAAAAAGAGACAAUGAUACGUAUCUCCAAUUUAGACUGGAUGAAACUAGCCACAUUUCAAAUAAAGAAGUCACAUUGUAAGUGUAAAACGACGUUAACCUUAAAGGAGACAUUUCCGCCCUGUAUAACUAUGCACAGCUUCAACUAAUGGUAUAUGAACUGUGUCUACAAACCAAAGGACAUUUUUCUAAAGAAACUUUAAAUAUAGAAAAUUAACUCAAACCUUACCUUAGAGCUUCCUCCUCUAUUGUCUUUUCCUGUAGUGGUAGUCUCUGUGGCACUUACAGGUGGUAAACAAAUAAAAAAGUGUCUUAUUGAAUUAACUUGAUUGCCAUAUUGAUCAGUUUUAUGUGUUUUUAUUCUUAAGCAUAACAAUAAAAGAAAAUGAUUAAGCAAUGUUUUGCUUAAAAAAAAAAGAUUUCAUGGCAGAGAAGCAAUUGAGUCCAGUUAAGAGACAGUUAAGAACAUUUUUCAGUUUGGAGCUUUUGUUUUGUGAUGAGAACUUUGCCAGUUAGUCACAAAUGAACUUGAGCACAUUUUCUUGAGCGUGAUGGCUGAACAGAUGAGCCACACACACUUUAUAGUGAGUUUUACUGCACUGAGUCUUUACCUACUAUUCCUAGUAGUUACACAUAUUAAAUUAUUAAUAACUGAUCAACAUUUUAAAAGAAGGUUUCAAAAGAAAUGUAAUUAGAUUUUAUAGUUGAGUUUUAGCUAAUGUGUGAUUCCACAAAAGUUCAGGUGCCGAGAUUACAUUUCAAUUUAUACUUGCCAUCUGCUAGAAUAUUCCCCUCUGUCUACAGCAUCCUGACCAGAUCUCCAAAUUUUGAAAUCUGUUUUCAUUAUUCAAGACUCAUUGUACAUUUCAAAUACCAGGUUGAUUUCUUAGUCUCCAUGUUCUCCAUGUCUGCUUAUGACUUUACAGAAAAAAUGUUAUUUACUAUGCAUAUUAAUAUUGAGAUUCUUUACUAUGCUGUAUCUUUUUUUUUUUUUUUUUUUUUUUGAGAUGGAGUCUCACUAUGUUGCCCAGGCUGGAGUGCAGUGGCGCCAUCUCGGCUCACUGCAAGCUUCGCCUCCUGGGUUCAUGCCAUUCUCCUACCUCAGCCUCCUGAGUAGCUGGGAUUCUAAUCUCCGCCACCACGCCUGGCCAAUUUUUUGUAUUUUUAGUAGAGACAGGGUUUCACUUUGUUAGCCAGGAUGGGAGCUCGUAAUCCGCCCACCUCGGCCUCCCAAAGCUGGGAUUACAGGCGUGAGCCACUGUGCCUGGCCUACUAUGCUGUAUUCUUAUAGUUAACAGCAUGCUCUUUGAUAAUAUCUCAUUGGAAAUAUUUAUGCUCUGAAACAUUAUUUUUUGAAUUGUUAAAUAUAAAUCAUUUAUACAGCAAUACUUUAUGGGAGAAGCAUAUGCUGAAUUUUAAUGGUGUUUACUUUGCAAUCCAAAAUUGUGAAUACAUACAUGUAAAACUAUGAAAUUGCUAAUUAAAUAUUUCCAUCUAUC
rnacentral:lncRNA from 1 species